rnacentral:rRNA from 1 species
UAAGGCCGAUGGCGACCGGCGCACGGGUGAGUAACACGUAUCCAACCUGCCGUCUACUCUUGGACAGCCUUCUGAAAGGAAGAUUAAUACAAGAUGGCAUCAUGAGUCCGCAUGUUCACAUGAUUAAAGGUAUUCCGGUAGACGAUGGGGAUGCGUUCCAUUAGAUAGUAGGCGGGGUAACGGCCCACCAAGGCGACGAUCAGUAGCUGGUCUGAGAGGACGAUCAGCCACACUGGGACUGAGACACGGCCCAGACUCC